UACAGAGGGUGCAAGCGUUGCUCGGAAUUAUUGGGCGUAAAGGGCAGGUAGGUGGUCCUAUUUGUCCGGGGUGAAAUCCCAGGGCUUAACCCUGGAAGUGCCUCGGAAACGGUAGGACUAGAGUCUGAGAGAGGUUUGUGGAAUUCCCAGUGUAGCGGUGAAAUGCGUAGAGAUUGGGAGGAACACCAGCGGCGAAGGCGGCAAACUGGAUCAGUACUGACACUAAACUGCGAAAGCGUGGGGAGCAAACAGG
rnacentral:rRNA from 1 species